GCCAUGCUAGUUGCACGAGUUGAGACUCGUAGCAGAUAGCUCAGUAACACGUGGCCAAACUACCCUAUGGAUCCGGACAACCUCGGGAAACUGAGGCUAAUCCGGAAUACGACUCUCAGCCUGGAAGUGGCGAGAGUCAGAAACGCCCCGGCGCCAUAGGAUGUGGCUGCGGCCGAUUAGGUAGACGGUGGGGUAACGGCCCACCGUGCCUAUAAUCGGUACGGGUUGUGAGAGCAAGAGCCCGGAGACGGUAUCUGAGACAAGAUACCGGGCCCUACGGGGCGCAGCAGGCGCGAAACCUUUACACUGCACGAAAGUGCGAUAAGGGGACUCCAAGUGCGAGGGCAUAUAGUCCUCGCUUUUCACCACCGUAAGGAGGUGGUAGAAUAAGUGCUGGGCAAGACCGGUGCCAGCCGCCGCGGUAAUACCGGCAGCACGAGUGAUGACCGCUCUUAUUGGGCCUAAAGCGUCCGUAGCUGGCCAUACAAGUCUAUCGGGAAAUCCGCGCGCUCAACGCGCGGGCGUCCGGUGGAAACUGCGUGGCUUGGGACCGGAAGACCUGAGGGGUACGUCUGGGGUAGGAGUGAAAUCCCGUAAUCCUGGACGGACCACCGGUGGCGAAAGCGCCUCAGAAGACGGAUCCGACGGUGAGGGACGAAAGCUCGGGUCACGAACCGGAUUAGAUACCCGGGUAGUCCGAGCUGUAAACGAUGUCUGCUAGAUGUGCCACAGGCUACGAGCCUGUGGUGUGUCGUAGGGAAGCCGUGAAGCAGACCGCCUGGGAAGUACGUCCGCAAGGAUGAAACUUAA
rnacentral:rRNA from 1 species